CAUGCUCAAACCCCUACUUUGAAGGACCACCUUCCUCUUUUUACAAAACCAUCUCUUUAAAAACCAGACCUUUUACCUCUCACUCACACAUUCAUUUCUCAAAAACCAAAACUUUUUCCUCUCAGUCUCAGUCCUUAAUUCAUCACAAACCAACAACUCAACAUAGAAAAAAUCUCAUCAUAUCAAGCCACAUUCAACAAUGGCUGAAGAAGAUCCACAAGAAAAGGUCGACCGUGAGCGCAUUUUCAAGCGCUUCGACACCAACGGUGACGGGAAAAUCUCUGCAUCGGAACUAGGGGAUGCAUUGAAAACCCUCGGCUGCGUUCAAUCGGACGAAGUGAAAUUUAUGAUGGCAGAGAUUGAUACCGACGGUGACGGCUACAUUUCGUACCAGGAAUACAUAGCUUUUGCUAUAGCUAACCGUGGUUUAAUGAAGGAUAUUGCUAAGAUAUUUUAGUUAUAUGUUCUAUUCAAUUUAUUUAUGUCAUUCUCUUUUAUGUGUGUUAAUGUGACUCAUUCCAUGCCUAUGAGACGUGCAUUGAUUGUUUUUCUUCAUUUUGAAUUUUUCUAGAACAGAAAUGCUUUGGUAGUUUAACUGUAAACUUCUUAUUUUCUCAUCCUAUACAUAUGGUACAUUUAAUUCAAG
rnacentral:lncRNA from 1 species